AGCAGCCGCGGUAAUUCCAGCUCCAAUAGCGUAUAUUAAAGUUGUUGCAGUUAAAAAGCUCGUAGUUGAAUUUCGGGAUCAAUAUGCUGGUCGUGCCAUUGGUACGUACUAGUAUUAUUGGUUUCUCCUUUCUGAUGAAUCAUGAUGUCAUUAAUUUGAUGUCAUGAGGAAUCAGGACUGUUACUUUGAAAAAUUAGAGUGUUUAAAGCAGGCUCGCGCUUGAAUACAUUAGCAUGGAAUAAUGAAAUAGGAUGUUUGAUUCUAUUUUGUUGGUUUCUAGGAUUGACGUAAUGAUUAAUAGGGAUAGUUGGGGGCAUUAGUAUUCAAUUGUCAGAGGUGAAAUUCUUGGAUUUAUUGAAGACUAACUACUGCGAAAGCAUUUGCCAAGGAUGUUUUCAUUAAUCAAGAACGAAAGUUAGGGGAUCGAAGACGAUCAGAUACCGUCGUAGUCUUAACCAUAAACUAUGCCGACUAGGGAUCGGAUGAUGUUAAUUUUU
rnacentral:misc_RNA from 1 species